AGUGAACGCUGGCGGUAGGCCUAACACAUGCAAGUCGAACGGCAGCACAGUAAGAGCUUGCUCUUACGGGUGGCGAGUGGCGGACGGGUGAGGAAUACAUCGGAAUCUACUUUUUCGUGGGGGAUAACGUAGGGAAACUUACGCUAAUACCGCAUACGACCUACGGGUGAAAGCAGGGGAUCUUCGGACCUUGCGCGAUUGAAUGAGCCGAUGUCGGAUUAGCUAGUUGGCGGGGUAAAGGCCCACCAAGGCGACGAUCCGUAGCUGGUCUGAGAGGAUGAGCAGCCACACUGGAACUGAGACACGGUCCAGACUCGUACGGGAGGCAGCAGUGGGGAAUAUUGGACAAUGGGCGCAAGCCUGAUCCAGCCAUACCGCGUGGGUGAAGGAGGCCUUCGGGUUGGAAAGCCCUUUUGUUGGGAAAGAAAAGCAGCAGGUGAAUACCCCGCUGUUCUGACGGUACCCAAAGAAUAAGCACCGGCUAACUUCGUG
rnacentral:rRNA from 1 species